CCCCGGUAAACGGCGGCCGUAACUAUAACGGUCCUAAGGUAGCGAAAUUCCUUGUCGGGUAAGUUCCGACCUGCACGAAUGGCGUAAUGAUGGCCAGGCUGUCUCCACCCGAGACUCAGUGAAAUUGAACUCGCUGUGAAGAUGCAGUGUACCCGCGGCAAGACGGAAAGACCCCGUGAACCUUUACUAUAGCUUGACACUGAACAUUGAGCCUUGAUGUGUAGGAUAGGUGGGAGGCUUUGAAGUGUGGACGCCAGUCUGCAUGGAGCCGACCUUGAAAUACCACCCUUUAAUGUUUGAUGUUCUAACGUGGACCCGUUACCCGGGUUGCGGACAGUGUCUGGUGGGUAGUUUGACUGGGGCGGUCUCCUCCUAAAGAGUAACGGAGGAGCACGAAGGUUGGCUAAUCCUGGUCGGACAUCAGGAGGUUAGUGCAAUGGCAUAAGCCAGCUUGACUGCGAGCGUGACGGCGCGAGCAGGUGCGAAAGCAGGUCAUAGUGAUCCGGUGGUUCUGAAUGGAAGGGCCAUCGCUCAACGGAUAAAAGGUACUCCGGGGAUAACAGGCUGAUACCGCCCAAGAGUUCAUAUCGACGGCGGUGUUUGGCACCUCGAUGUCGGCUCAUCACAUCCUGGGGCUGAAGUAGGUCCCAAGGGUAUGGCUGUUCGCCAUUUAAAGUGGUACGCGAGCUGGGUUUAGAACGUCGUGAGACAGUUCGGUCCCUAUCUGCCGUGGGCGCUGGAGAACUGAGGGGGGCUGCUCCUAGUACGAGAGGACCGGAGUGGACGCAUCACUGGUGUUCGGGUUGUCAUGCCAAUGGCACUGCCCGGUAGCUAAAUGCGGAAGAGAUAAGUGCUGAAAGCAUCUAAGCACGAAACUUGCCCCGA
rnacentral:rRNA from 2 species